GCUUGAAUGAUGAUUUUUCAGUCUUUUGUCGGAUACCCCUUCACUCUACAAUGAGUGAGAUCCCCGCUCUGACAGAC